UACGUAGGGGGCGAGCGUUGUCCGGAAUCAUUGGGCGUAAAGCGCGUGUAGGCGGCUUGGUAAGUCCGGUGUGAAACCUUGGGGCUCAACCCCAAGCCUGCACUGGAUACUGCCUCGCUUGAGUCCGGGAGGGGAGAGCGGAAUCCUAGUGUAGCGGUGAAAUGCGCAGAUAGUCAGGAGGAACACCGGUGGCGAAGGCGGGUCUCUGGGCCGUAACUGACGCUGGAGGAGCGAAAGCGUGGGGAGCGAACAGG
rnacentral:rRNA from 1 species